UACGUAGGGGGCCAGCGUUGUCCGGACUUACUGGGCGUAAAGCGUCCGCAGGUGGCACUUCAAGUCUGUCGUCAAAGACUGGGGCUUAACCCUGGAAAGGCGGUGGAAACUGAAGCGCUAGAGUGCGGUAGGGGUAGAGGGAAUUCCCGGUGUAGCGGUGAAAUGCGUAGAGAUCCGGAGGAACACCAGCGGCGAAGGCGGCAUCCUGGACUGGUCCUGACACUCAGGAGCGAAAGCGUGGGGAGCGAUCCGG
rnacentral:rRNA from 1 species